rnacentral:rRNA from 1 species
AUUGAACGCUGGCGGCAUGCCUUACACAUGCGAGUCGAACGGCAGCACGGGUGCUUGCACCUGGUGGCGAGUGGCGAACGGGUGAGUAAUACAUCGGAACAUGUCCUGUAGUGGGGGAUAGCCCGGCGAAAGCCGGAUUAAUACCGCAUACGAUCUACGGAUGAAAGCGGGGGACCUUCGGGCCUCGCGCUAUAGGGUUGGCCGAUAGCUGAUUAGCUAGUUGGUGGGGUAAAGGCCUACCAAGGCGACGAUCAGUAGCUGGUCUGAGAGGACGACCAGCCACACUGGGACUGAGACACGGCCCAGACUCCUACGGGAGGCAGCAGUGGGGAAUUUUGGACAAUGGGCGAAAGCCUGAUCCAGCAAUGCCGCGUGUGUGAAGAAGGCCUUCGGGUUGUAAAGCACUUUUGUCCGGAAAGAAAUCCUUGGCUCUAAUACAGUCGCGGGAUGACGGUACCGGAAGAAUAAGCACCGGCUAACUACGUG